rnacentral:rRNA from 1 species
AUGAACGCUGGCGGCGUGCCUCAUACAUGCAAGUCGUGCGAACAGACGAGGAGCUUGCUCCUCUGACGUUAGCGGCGGACGGGCGAGUAACACGUGGAUAACCUACCUAUAAGAUUGGGAUAACUUCGGGAAACCGGAGCUAAAACCGGAUAAUAUAUUGAACCGCAUGGCUCAUUAGUCAAAGACGGUUUUGCUGUCACUUUUACAUGGAUCCGCGCCGUCUUAGCUAGUUGGUAAGGUAACGGCUUACCAAGGCAACGAUGCGUAGCCGACGUGAGAGGGUGAUCGGCAACACUGGAACUGACACACGGUCCAAACUGCUACGAGAGGCAGCAGUGGAGAAUCUUCCACAAUGGGCGAAAGCUUGACGGAGCAACGCCGCGUGAGUGAUGAAGGUCUUCGGAUCGUAGAACUCUGUUAUUAGGGAAGAACAGAUGUGUGAGUAACUAUGCACAUCUUGACGGUACCUACUCAGAAAGCCACGGCUAACUACGUG